UUGGCGGGCCUACAAUCACACGUCGCAUUAUAUGUCCAUCAACGCGGCGGAUCUUGCAAAUACGUUAGCGGACCGAAGCCAACGGGUUAGCAGCCACAAAAAUCUUGAAUUCGAAGCGACAUUAUGUAGGAGCUCGUACGGUUACAGUACAGGAAUCGAAUUCUUUUGGGAGUUAAUUGGCUCCACGACGAGGGUAGUUACUUAGGAGACUAGGAUUAUCCUUAGCGCGCAGUUGAAGGAGUCGAAUCAGAUGCAAACAAGCGUGAUUAUUCGAAACCUCAGAUCAAAUGUGGUGGUGUGCACGAGAUUCAGGAGAGGAAUGAGGGACCUGGAGAGGGACUCGAGCGACUAACGGAAUAACUAAUUUAUCAAUUCUUCGGUUCGGUUGGCUCCGAUACCCCUGGCUAUAUUUGCGAACUCGUGCAAACGGGGACUCCCUAUUCCCAGGGUGCAUCGUCGUCUUGUUUGGACACGAGAGGGACUCCAGAAAGCUUCGGCUUACGAGAUGUCAAUAUGCUAUAAGUGACGAAGGUUUAUACGCGCCGAACCAGAAAGCUUUCAAUGAUUGUACAAAGUAUCAUGACAAAUUCAUCAACGCAUCGCUUACUAUAUAAAACGAGGCACGAUAAAAUUAUAAUAUUCUGUUGUAUUAGUUUAAGGAUAAUUGAUCUAAUCUAUUUUCACGAGAUACUAUAAUAAUGUAAUUUUUUAAUCGAAUGAUUUGUGUCAACAGUUAAUCUCGAUACUGAGGAAUACGCAUUAAUGACAACACCAACAUCGUAUCAAUAUUAACAAUUAAUUAAGAUUCAAUUACUUUAGAUUAAUAGUACUGACCUACAUUAUUUCAAUUGGUAACAGCUUAUUUAAAAAGUUAAUCCUCGCAAGAAAAAUAUAUAUCUCCCGUUGUAGCUCGUUAUUGUGCCGUGCGUUGGCGCCACCGAAGCUAUUUCACAGUUCAAUCAAUAUAACAUGUUAAAUUAUUUUUAAUAUGUCGAACAGUUUAUAAUUCAAGACAAUUUUUAUUGUUGAUUAAAAAUGGCUGGAACCUUGACGAUAAAAAUAAUCAAUUAAAUCCUGUUUUCUUGUUGCUAAUUCAGUAAGGUUAGUUACAAGAAGGUGGUCAAGGAGUAGGGAGAUUGUGAGUGGUACGGUAUGAACGAGAGUCGUUCGUAAAACUUGAAAAUCCGUGGUUCAUAUCAUUCUCGACUCCAAUGGUCAGUACAAAUAGAUACGUUUGUAAUUAGAACGCAAUUUUGAUUGAAAAUGUAAGUUUUGUUGACACGCAAUUCACGCUACAAUAAUCAAACGAAUAUUCUCAUAUAUUUCCCGCAAAUUGUGUUUUCAUUUAAUAUUUGGUAUUACAAAAUUUUGCGAUCAAAGUGAGCGGAAACGUUGGGGUGUGCGGAAAGGGGGAGAGAGAUGGAGGUAAUAUUAAUUGAAUAGUAACAGGGAUAUCAUCAUCCAGGAUAAUAUUAAUUGAAUUCCUGAAUCCACAUAAAUGAUUUAUGUAAUACUUGAAAAUACCUAUAACAAUUUUAAGAUAAUUUAUGUGAA
rnacentral:lncRNA from 1 species